AGCUGCGCAGUGGGCACAGAGCGAACUAUUCUUUCGCCUUUUACUAAAGAAUACCGUGUGCCCGCUGCAAUAAGCAGCAUACGCCUAUUUUUUUAGGGAUCCAUCUUCUUGUGAGAAGGAU
rnacentral:snRNA from 2 species